AGAGUUUGAUCCUGGCUCAGGAUGAACGCUGGCGGCAUGCCUAAUACAUGCAAGUCGAACGGAGCGAAUAUGGAAGCUUGCUUCUGUAAGAGCUCAGUGGCGAACGGGUGAGUAACACGUAGGUAACCUGCCCAUGUGCCCGGGAUAACUGCUGGAAACGGUAGCUAAAACCGGAUAGGUGAACAGGAGGCAUCUCUUAUUCAUUAAAGGACCUGUAAAGGUGCGAACAUGGAUGGACCUGCGGCGCAUUAGCUGGUUGGAGUGGUAACGGCACACCAAGGCGACGAUGCGUAGCCGACCUGAGAGGGCGAACGGCCACAUUGGGACUGAGACACGGCCCAAACUCCUACGGGAGGCAGCAGUAGGGAAUUUUCGUCAAUGGGGGGAACCCUGAACGAGCAAUGCCGCGUGAGUGAAGAAGGUCUUCGGAUCGUAAAGCUCUGUUGUAAGUGAAGAACGGUCAGUAGAGGAAAUGAUACUGAAGUGACGGUAGCUUACCAGAAAGCCACGGCUAACUACGUGCCAGCAGCCGCGGUAAUACGUAGGUGGCGAGCGUUAUCCGGAAUCAUUGGGCGUAAAGGGUGCGCAGGUGGUACAUUAAGUCCGAAGUAAAAGGCAGCAGCUCAACUGCUGUUGGCUUUGGAAACUGGUGAACUGGAGUGCAGGAGAGGGCGAUGGAAUUCCAUGUGUAGCGGUAAAAUGCGUAGAUAUAUGGAGGAACACCAGUGGCGAAGGCGGUCGCCUGGCCUGCAACUGACACUGAGGCACGAAAGCGUGGGGAGCAAAUAGGAUUAGAUACCCUAGUAGUCCACGCCGUAAACGAUGAGAACUAAGUGUUGGGGAGACUCAGUGCUGCAGUUAACGCAAUAAGUUCUCCGCCUGGGGAGUAUGCACGCAAGUGUGAAACUCAAAGGAAUUGACGGGGGCCCGCACAAGCGGUGGAGUAUGUGGUUUAAUU
rnacentral:rRNA from 1 species